rnacentral:rRNA from 2 species
ACAUGCAAGUCGGACGAACUUAUUUAGCUUGCUAAAUAAGUUAGUGGCAAACGGGUGAGUAACACGUGGGAAUCUACCCAGUAGUACGGAAUAACAGUUGGAAACGAUUGCUAAUACCGUAUAGUAUCGAGAGAUUAAAGAUUUAUCGCUACUGGAUGAGCCCGCGUCAGAUUAGGUAGUUGGUGGGGUAAUGGCCUACCAAGCCCGAGAUCUGUAGCUGGUCUGAGAGGAUGACCAGCCACACUGGAACUGAGACACGGUCCAGACUCC